UCUUGUUCUCAUGCAUUGGGCUGUUUUCAGCAUCAUCUUGACAGGCGGAAGCACGUUGUUCCCUCGGUUCGCUGAAAGAUUGCAGAGAGAACUUCGGCCUCUUGUGCCCGAGGAGUACCAGGUGAAGAUAAUCUCUCAAGAGAACCCAAUUCUUGGUGUCUGGAGAGGAGGAUCUGUCCUGGCAUCCAGCCCCGAUUUCGAGUCGAUGUGCGUUACGAAAUCGGAGUACGAGGAGAUGGGGUCGGCACGGUGCCGCCGAAGAUUCUUCCACUGAAGAGUUGCUCAGUAGAUAGAACAAUGUAGCCUAUUUUAGAUGGCAUGUUUAGCAAGUGCCAUGCGAAUUAGGGGGGUCAUCUUUUGAAAAAGGUUUAACAAGUUCAGUAUUUGCACUAGACAAAUUUAACUAACGGCUGGUUGGUCAUGAGACCAGAGGUUCUCUUCCCCAUGCAUGCAUGCAGAUCAACUUUGGAUGAAUGGAUUCAGUUGUGGGUUGGUGGAUUUAGCUACUGGGAAUUUCAGAUUUUCCUGAGGAUUUUCUAGCCGGCC